CAGCUUCAGUUAGGCCUUUGAUAAAAUUCCCCAGGACAUCUAAAAGGGAAGAGCAAAUACAUAAAGUUCUACAAAAACAACAAAGGCUACAACUUCAGACUAUUGCCUUGACUUGAGGUUGUCACUAGAUCCAAUAUCAUGGCAUUACUCAAGAAAAUGUUUCGGCCAAAAAUGGGACACAGAAGGUCAUAAUUAUCAGCAUUAUCUGUACCAACCCUAUCAUGGGCCUUCAUUUCCAUCAACUGCAAUUAAGGUAUACUAAUUACAAUAAUUUAUUAUUGUUUACAU